rnacentral:rRNA from 1 species
AGUGAACGCUGGCGGCAUGCCUAAUACAUGCAAGUCGAACGAAAGCACAAUAAGCUUUCUCUUUCAACGGUAGCGACUGGCGGAUGAGUGACACAUAGAUAACCUACCUAUAAUACUUGGAUGACUUCGUGAAACCGCAUCUGAUACCACAUCAUAUUUCCAACCGCAUAAUUCAAUAGUUCAACGGACCUUUGCUGACUCUUAUAGCUGCACCUGCGCCGUAUUAGCUAGUUGGUAAGGUAACGGCUUACCAAGGCAACGAUCCGUAGCCGACCUGAGAGGGUGAUCGGCCACACUGGAACUGAGACACGGUCCAGACUCCUACGGGAGGCAGCAGUAGGGAAUCUUGGGCAAUGGGCGCAAGCCUGACGGAGCAAUGCCGCGUGAGUGAUGAAGGCCUUCGGAUCGUAAAACCCUGUUAUUAGGAAAGAAAAACCGCGUAAGUAAACGUGGCUGUUUUGACGGUACCCAAUCAGAAAGCACCGGCUAACUUCGUG